GCCGGAGUGGCGGAACGGUUUACGCGCGGCACUCAAAAUGCCGUGUCCUUCGGGACAUGUGGGUUCGAAUCCCACCUCCGGCA
rnacentral:tRNA from 1 species